UUUCAGUGCUCCAGCUCCUGCAGGAGGGCCAAGAUCCACACAUUCUGUGUCCUCUGGAGGUCUUUACUCCACCUGUCUGUGGGUACCAUUAACUCAUGGGAAAAGGCUGGGCUACCCCCAGAAGCCCAUGUAAGAUACCAACUCACAAGAGGAUAUUGCUUCUUCAGAGAUUUAUUUUGAUGUGCAAAAACUUUAAUAAGUCACGCUGAAAAUUGUAUCAGUUGGUUCCCUGACCAGGAACGGCAGAUGAGUGACUCCUGGGACCCUCCCAGUCUGAGUUCCCUGCUGAGUUAUGGACUGGACUGCAUCCUGGAUUAAUUCCUCACUUCUCAACUAAACUUGUUGCUGCUGUUCUGCAAGCAACACCGGUCUAAUUCAUUUA